rnacentral:rRNA from 1 species
AAUAGCGUAUAUUAAAGUUGUUGCAGUUAAAAAGCUCGUAGUUGGAUUUCUGGUAGGAGUGACCGUUCCGAACUUGAUUGUUCGUGUAUUGUGUUUUCUCCAGCCAUCCUUGUGGAGAACUUUUCUUGCAUUAAUUUGUAGGGAUUGGGACCCGCAUCGUUUACUGUGAAAAAAUUAGAGUGUUUAAAGCAGGCAAUCGCUUGAAUACAUUAGCAUGGAAUAAUAAGAUAGGACUUUGGUACUAUUUUGUUGGUUUGCAUACCAAAUUAAUGAUCAACAGGAACAGUUUGAGGAUAUUCGUAUGAACAUGUCAGAGGUGAAAUUCUUGGAUUUUGAUCAGACGAACUACUGCGAAAGCAUUUAUCAAGGAUGUUUUCAUUAA